UGAGGAAUAUUGCGCAAUGGGCGAAAGCCUGACGCAGCGACGCCGCGUGGGUGAUGAAGGUCUUCGGAUCGUAAAGCCCUUUUAGAGAGGAAGAUAAUGACGGUACUCUCAGAAUAAGCCUUGGCUAACUACGUGCCAGCAGCCGCGGUAAUACGUAUAAGGCGAGCGUUAUUCGGAUUUACUGGGCGUAAAGGGCGCGUAGGCGGCAUGACAAGUCACUUGUGAAAUCUCUGGGCUUAACCCAGAACGGCCAAGUGAUACUGUCGCGCUAGAGUGCAGAAGGGGCAAUCGGAAUUCUUGGUGUAGCGGUGAAAUGCGUAGAUAUCAAGAGGAACACCUGAGGUGAAGACGGGUUGCUGGGCUGACACUGACGCUGAGGCGCGAAAGCCAGGGGAGCAAACGGGAUUAGAUACCCAUGUAGUCCCUGAGCGGGCUGGCAAGGCGCAU
rnacentral:rRNA from 1 species